rnacentral:rRNA from 1 species
AUACGGAGGGUGCAAGCGUUACUCGGAAUCACUGGGCGUAAAGCGCGCGCAGGCGGCUUGAUAAGUUGGAUGUGAAAGCCUACGGCUCAACCGUAGAACUGCAUCCAAAACUAUUAGACUAGAGUGUGGGAGAGGAAGAUGGAAUUAGUUGUGUAGGGGUAAAAUCCGUAGAGAUAACUAGGAAUACCAAAAGCGUAGGCAAUCUUCUGGAACACUACUGACGCUGAGGCGCGAAAGCGUGGGGAGCAAACAGGAUUAGAAACCCCGGUAGUCC